rnacentral:rRNA from 1 species
UACAGAGGGUGCGAGCGUUAAUCGGAAUUACUGGGCGUAAAGCGCACGUAGGUGGCGACGUAAGUCGGGUGUGAAAGCCCCGGGCUCAACCUGGGAAUUGCAUUCGAGACUGCAUUGCUGGAGUACGGAAGAGGAAGGCGGAAUUCCCGGUGUAGCGGUGAAAUGCGUAGAUAUCGGGAGGAACAUCGGUGGCGAAGGCGGCCUUCUGGUCCAGUACUGACACUCAAGUGCGAAAGCGUGGGGAGCAAACAGG